rnacentral:rRNA from 1 species
UACGUAGGUGGCAAGCGUUGUCCGGAAUUAUUGGGCGUAAAGCGCGCUCAGGCGGUUAAGUAAGUCUGAUGUUAAAGCCCGGGUCUCAACCUCGGUUCGCAUUGGAAACUGUGUAACUUGAGUGCAGAAGAGGAAAGUGGUAUUCCACGUGUAGCGGUGAAAUGCGUAGAUAUGUGGAGGAACACCAGUGGCAAAGGAGACUUUAUGGUCUGUAACUGACGCUGAGGCGCGAAAGCGUGGGGAGCAAACAGG